AAAAAGCUCGUAGUUGGAUCUCGGCAAGUAGAGGGCGGUAUGCUUCGUAGCAUUACUGCCCUAUUACUUGUAGUUUUGCCAGAGGUUCCUGGGUGCUCUUAAUCGAGUGUCUAGGGAUGCUGGCAGGUUUACUUUGAAAAAAUUAGAGUGCUCAAAGCAGGCUAUUACGCUUGAAUAUUCGUGCAUGGAAUAAUAGAAUAGGAAGUUGUUUCUAUUUUGUUGGUUUUCGUAAAUCGACUUAAUGAUUAAUAGGGACAGUCGGGGGCAUUUGUAUUCAAAC
rnacentral:rRNA from 1 species